AUCCCUGACCCCCACGCCAUCUCCUCACGGCCGCCAUCCCCCCAACCCCCACCAUUCCCGCGCCCCGCCGGCAUUCCCCGCACCGUCAGUGUCCCCGUGCUGUACCCGGACCUGCGGCGGGAGGUCAGGGUUGGCGAGGGCUGCUGCGCCCGGGGAGCGGGACCGCCUUGUGAGGGGGAAAAAUGAACCCUUGGCAGGUGUUUGCGUAGGAGACUUCGGUGUGAGCAGUGAACGCCUGGAAAAGGCGUGAGGGAUCGAUGGCAGGGGAUUCUGAGGGGAUACCUGAGGCAGCCGGUGCCGUGCUCUGCAGCCGCCCCGAUGCCGUGGUGCCGGCACUGCCAGGGUACACGUGGUGAAUAGUGCCCUGCAUUGUACGUGCUCGAGUGAUCACGAUGCAGCCUUUGGACCCCACGGAUGGGGUGGGGAAAAAAUCCAGUCCAUUUUCUCUGAUGCUACUGGACUGAGCACUUCUGCCAUAGGAUUUGCCAGUUAUUGUUGACAGUUCCCUGCCAGCCUCCUGUGGCCCCUUGGCUCUGCGGAUCGUGGGGCAGGCAGAAUGAAGGAAAGAGUGGUCAUCUCCUGUCACCCAUCCCUGUCCUAAUAACAGAUGUCCCCAAGUCAGCAGAAAACAGAGGAAGGAGAAAGCUUCUCAUGGAAACGGGCUUUUUUGUGGACAUUAUGACUGAAAUACUAAUGCUGGUGAGGAGCACCAUGGUCAGCACACAAGAUAGGAGACCAGCAGACCUUUCCCCAGGACAGGCGAGAGCAGAACCCCCUCACCCGAGGAGCCCCAGCUGCUGAGCUAUUACAAGGACUAAGCGGUGUAUUCGAGCAAGAUGGAUCCCGUCCCAAAGCUUUGCAUGUAAAAACACACACUUUGAAUUUCACAGGAGCCAAAGCUGCCUGCCAGGAACACUAGGAGGAACACACUCAGCCAGUGGGUGUUCUGUGCUCACACAGGGAAGCUCCCUUUUGAUCUCUGGGUUUAGUCUUAUGGACUGUUCUCUGCAGAAACCCAAACUCCAGGUGACAGAAGCACAGUAAGGCCCACCUCCAGGGGAAAAAAUAAAAGAACAAAAAGUAUCCA
rnacentral:lncRNA from 1 species